AGUAAUGCUUAGGAAUCUGCCUAUUAGUGGGGGACAACAUUCCGAAAGGAAUGCUAAUACCGCAUACGCCCUACGGGGGAAAGCAGGGGAUCUUCGGACCUUGCGCUAAUAGAUGAGCCUAAGUCAGAUUAGCUAGUUGGUGGGGUAAAGGCCUACCAAGGCGACGAUCUGUAGCGGGUCUGAGAGGAUGAUCCGCCACACUGGGACUGAGACACGGCCCAGACUCCUACGGGAGGCAGCAGUGGGGAAUAUUGGACAAUGGGCGAAAGCCUGAUCCAGCCAUGCCGCGUGUGUGAAGAAGGCCUUUUGGUUGUAAAGCACUUUAAGCGAGGAGGAGGCUACUUAGAUUAAUACUCUAGGAUAGUGGACGUUACUCGCAGAAUAAGCACCGGCUAACUCUGUGCCAGCAGCCGCGGUAAUACAGAGGGUGCGAGCGUUAAUCGGAUUUACUGGGCGUAAAGCGUGCGUAGGCGGCUU
rnacentral:rRNA from 1 species